ACUCACAUGUUUAAUUAUCCUUCACUGAAGAUAAUGCUUCCAAAUAUGGCAGGUACCUUUUAUGAAGUCAAAGAGUGAAAAAGUAUGCACAAGUAGCUGCUCUGGAGUCCUGCAGUAUUUUCCCUCUGCAAAUCUAGGGUGAUUUCCUCAAAUCAAGGAGAAGCAAAUGGAUGAUUUUAUAUUAGGUAACCUCCAGCUGAAAAGAAAAAAAAAAAAAAAAAAAAAAGAAUAAACCCAUCUGUCAUGUCUCCUGUAGGACAUUUCUGGAAAUUGCUGUUUACCAGCAUCUUUGAUGACCUUUCUGAAAGUGGUCUCUUUUGAAAGAAGCUUAUCAGAAAGGAGAAGUGUGCAAUGACUGCUUUACCUGCUCUGUCUAAAAGGAAUGCUGCUGUAGAGACUGGACAUCUUGUGGCCUCUAAGGACAUUAUAAUCUCUCUGGUGGCCAAACAUUUGAAAAUCCUUCAUGUUUCAAGCAAAAGUGACUGCCAGUGCCUUCCUAAAGCUGAACACAGCUACUUGCAGGAGCAGCUUGAAACAGCCCAGGGAAGUACAUUCAACACUCCUGAUUUGCAUUUUGGAAUCUCUUGGCUCUUAGCAUGAAAGAAAGGGUGAGUACAACAUGAAAAGAGUUUGUUGCAGUUCUUCCUUAGUGGAAGUAGGUUGGCAGAAUCAAGUCUCUGGAGAAUUGAGGCUCCCUGCUUGAUAGUUUUCCAAGCUAAGUUCAAGUGCUUGAUCUGCACAGAAAGAUAUUAAAGAUUUCUUUUUUUCCUGUUGGUAUCAGAGAACUAGACCCUGCACUCUAGCCUCAAAGUGAUGAUCAUUUUCUCGCUUUCUUGUUCCUGUGCCUGCUUGCUACUUCUUUUGAUUACCAGUGAUGUUGUCAGAAUACUCAUAUUGUCUUCUAAAGAAAGGUUGGGAGUUGGGUGUAAUGAACCAGGAUGUAGACUUGAGUCCCAGGCCUAAGUCAGAGUGAGAAUGCAGUGUACUGUCUUUACAGCGUGUUGAUAUGCUGCUUUACCCAGAAUCUGUCAGCAUUCCUGUGUUAGUAUAUGAAAUGCAUUUCCCUCUGCUGUUCUGAAAGCCCUGAGAGUAAAAGCUCUGUGUGACACAGGCCUCUUGUUGCUACAGCUGCACUUUACUGUCUUUCCCAUUCCAUAGUGCUUUUUGAUUAUAGAUUAUUGAUAUUUCAUGACAACCUUUAAUGACGACCUUUCUUCAUAGGAUUUCAAAGGUUGUUUCUUACAAUCUUCAUGACAACCAUGAAAUUACUGCUUUCAAAACUUAAUCUUUAUUCAAAAUUUUGCAAAUUCCACAUAGGCAAAAUUUUGCUUUAGAAAACUUCAGUUCUG
rnacentral:lncRNA from 1 species